AAUUAAUGAGCUUGUUUAAGCAUUUGUUUUGAAAACUUAAUAAAGAAUAUAUUUUCUAUUCUAUUAAUUU
rnacentral:tRNA from 1 species